UAUAUGUCUAACGUUUGUCUAACGUUUGACUGUCAUCCUAUUUGAUUUUUUUAUGAUUAGUAUUUUAUUGUCAUUAGAUAAUAAAACAUAAAUAAUACCUUACACGUGACUAUUUUUUAUUAUUUUUAUAAUUAUUUUAAAUAAUACGGAUGGUUAAACAUUGGACAUAAAUACCUAUAUCUAUACUUAUU
rnacentral:pre_miRNA from 1 species